rnacentral:rRNA from 1 species
AGGACGAACGCUGGCGGCGUGCUUAACACAUGCAAGUCGAACGGUGACGCUGGAGCUUGCUCCAGCUGAUCAGUGGCGAACGGGUGAGUAACACGUGAGCAACCUGCCCUUGACUCUGGGACUAACCCCGGGAAACGGAGCUAAUACCGGAUACGAACCGCACAGGCAUCCGCGCGGUUGGAAAGAUUUAUCGGUCAAGGAUGGGCUCGCGGCCUAUCAGCUUGUGGUGGGUAAUGGCCCACGAAGGCGACGACGGGUAGCCGGCCGUGAGACGGGCGACCGGCCACGACGUGGGACUGGAGACGACGGCCCAGACCUACCGUACGGGAGCCAGCCAGGUGGGAAUAUUGACGACAAGUGGGACGAAGCCGU